rnacentral:rRNA from 1 species
GAUGAACGCUGGCGGCGUGCCUAAUACAUGCAAGUCGAGCGAACAGACGAGGAGCUUGCUCCUCUGACGUUAGCGGCGGACGGGUGAGUAACACGUGGAUAACCUACCUAUAAGACUGGGAUAACUUCGGGAAACCGGAGCUAAUACCGGAUAAUAUAUUGAACCGCAUGGUUCAAUAGUGAAAGACGGUUUUGCUGUCACUUAUAGAUGGAUCCGCGCCGCAUUAGCUAGUUGGUAAGGUAACGGCUUACCAAGGCAACGAUGCGUAGCCGACCUGAGAGGGUGAUCGGCCAAACUGAAACUGAGAAAGGGUCCAGACUCCAACGGGAGGAAGCAGAGGGAAAUCUUCGGCAAUGGGCGAAGGCCUAACGGAGCAACGCGGCGUGAGUGAUGAAGGUCUUGGGAUCGUAAAACCCUGUUAUUAGGAAAGAAAAAAGGGGUAAGUAACAAUGCACGUCUGGACGGUACCAAACCAAAAAGCAACGGCUAACUACGU